rnacentral:rRNA from 1 species
CCUACGGGAGGCAGCAGUGGGGAAUAUUGCACAAUGGGGGAAACCCUGAUGCAGCGACGCCGCGUGAGUGAAGAAGUAUUUCGGUAUGUAAAGCUCUAUCAGCAGGGAAGAAAAUGACGGUACCUGAUUAAGCAGCACCGGCUAACUACGUGCCAGCAGCCGCGGUCAUACGUAGGGGGCAAGCGUUAUCCGGAUUUACUGGGUGUAAAGGGAGCGUAGACGGCAGCACAAGUCUGGAGUGAAAUGCCGGGGCUUAACCCCGGAACUGCUUUGGAAACUGUGCAGCUAGAGUGCAGGAGAGGUAAGUGGAAUUCCUAGUGUAGCGGUGAAAUGCGUAGAGAUUAGGAGGAACACCAGUGGCGAAGGCGGCUUACUGGACUGUAACUGACGUUGAGGCUCGAAAGCGUGGGGAGCAAACAGGAUUAGAUACCCGUGUAGUC